rnacentral:rRNA from 1 species
AACUAACGCUGGCGGCGUGCCUAACACAUGCAAGUCGUACGAGAAAGUUGGCUUCGGCCGAUGAGUAAAGUGGCGCACGGGUGAGUAAUGCGUGGAUAAUCUGCCCUUUAGUUGGGAAUAACGUACCGAAAGGUGCGCUAAUACCUGAUAAUACUGCAUAACUACUGUUGUGUAGUCAAAGAAGGCCUCUGUUUACAAGCUUUUGCUGAAGGAUGAGUCCGCGUACCAUUAGCUGGUUGGUGGGGUAAUGGCCUACCAAGGCUACGAUGGUUAGCUGGUCUGAGAGGAUGAUCAGCCACACUGGAACUGAGACACGGUCCAGACUCCUACGGGAGGCAGCAGUGAGGAAUAUUGCGCAAUGGGGGCAACCCUGACGCAGCAACGCCGCGUGAGUGAAGAAGGCCUUCGGGUUGUAAAGCUCUGUUGAAGGGGAAGAUAAUGACGGUACCCUUCGAGGAAGCCACGGCUAACUACGUGCCAGCAGCCGCGGUAAAACG